rnacentral:rRNA from 1 species
CGCGUAGGCUGGUCUUUAAGUGAGUGGUGAAAGGUUCGGGCUCAACCCGGACACUGCCUUUCAUACUGGGGACCUUGAGUGUGGGAGAGGCGAGUGGAAUGGUCGGUGUAGCGGUGAAAUGCGUAGAUAUCGAUCGGAACACCCAUGGCGAAGGCAGCUCGCUGGCCUGACACUGACGCUGAGGCGCGAAAGCGUGGGGAGCAAACAGGAUUAGAUACCCUGGUAGUCCACGCCGUAAACGAUGAGUGCUAGAUGUAAGGGGUAUCGACCCCCCUUGUGUCGCAGCUAACGCAAUAAGCACUCCGCCUGGGGAGUACGGCCGCAAGGUUGAA